GGCCUAAGCUGUCACAAGAGUCUGAGGCUUUGCUUCUACAAGCCUCUCAGCAACCAAGGUUGCAUAAAGUGUACAUUACAUCAAGGUCUCUUGGGACUGGAGGUCUGCACAGCAUAUGAACUGCUGAGCCUGGAUAAAUGCUUCCAGGUAAUGCCUCUACCUGGAAGCUUCUGGGCUAUGCCCAAAAAUGCUGGGAUUGUUACCAUAUCUCAAAGCCUACCCUGUACACUGUAUUUCCAGAGCUGUUGUAAUAAAACAGGCCAAUAUCUCUAUGGGGCUAGAAUUUGCUGUUUAUCCAGCCAUACUGACUUUCCCAGAAACUUUAAUCUUUGUAUGUCACUUCCUUAACAGAGUUACAGAUCAAAGAACAGAGGUCAAUGUGUUUUCAGAGGCCAGUUUCAAGCAAGAAGUCAUAUCUGGGAUUUCUAUUUCAUAUAGGUUAUUUGAUGCGACAUCUAAGACUACGUUUUCAAUAAAACAGGAACCAAGCAGACUAUAUGGAAUGAGCCCAGAAAAUGGUUUUAUAAGAAGACAGCAUCAGGGUCAAUGCUUACGUCUGCCCUUUGCCACAGUUCUCCUUCAUUGUUUCAUGCAGAAAUAACUCACAUUUUAUGAUUAAAAAAAGUUUUGUUCUCAAGAUUCACUGCGGUGCUCACAUACACAUUGUCUGCGUUGAUUUUACAACAGAUAGGAAGAUACCGCCUUUCAAAUCGAUUUUGUGAAAAGUUAAACGUGAAAAGCUGCUCAACUUCUGUAUGUUGUGACAAAACUGAGCUGCACAAAACUGAACUGCCUCCCAACUUUGUUUCUACAUCUGUUUCAUUCAUUUGUAUUUAUUAUAAUUAUGUCUAGACUUGGUUUGCUGCAUUAUUUUAAACCUUUUUUCGCUUUUUACUUUUUUGCUUUUUUUUUUUUGCUUUUCUGUCUUUUUACUUUGACUGCUUACUUGGAGUAAAUAUUUUACUAAUUCUAUUUUAACUGAGUAACAAUGUGUCUAUAGAACACUAUAAUGUUAUAUUAGUUUUUGGGGGAAUCAAUAGGUAACUAACUGUGACAGCUUGGAAAUCAGAGAUCUAAUAUACCAUACUGGGAAGCAUAGACUAUCCUGGUUCUCAGGUAAGCAUGUGCCAUCAUUACUACAUGCCUGAGGCAACAGUUACCAUAUGCACUGGGAGUGUUGCCAUUAGAUUUCCAGGGAGGGUUCUACCAGAUUUUAAAUUAGGAAUGACCUUUAGAUAAAAUGGCAAGAUCUAAACAAUUCAG
rnacentral:lncRNA from 1 species